GUGGGGGAUAUUGCACAAUGGGGGAAACCCUGAUGCAGCGACGCCGCGUGAAGGAAGACGUACUUCGGUAUGUAAACUUCUAUCAGCAGGGAAGAAGAUGACGGUACCUGACUAAGAAGCCCCGGCUAACUACGUGCCAGCAGCCGCGGUAAUACGUAGGGGGCAAGCGUUAUCCGGAUUUACUGGGUGUAAAGGGAGCGUAGACGGUGAAGCAAGUCUGAUGUGAAAACCCGGGGCUCAACUCCGGGAUUGCAUUGGAAACUGUUUUACUGGAGUGCUGGAGGGGCAAGCGGAAUUCCUGGUGUAGCGGUGAAAUGCGUAGAUAUCAGGAAGAACACCGGUGGCGAAGGCGGCUUGCUGGACAGUGACUGACGUUGAGGCUCGAAAGCGUGGGGAGCAAACAGGAUUAGAAACCCUAGUAGUCC
rnacentral:rRNA from 1 species